GGCCAGACUCCUACGGGAGGCAGCAGUGGGGAAUAUUGCACAAUGGGGGAAACCCUGAUGCAGCGACGCCGCGUGAGUGAAGAAGUAAUUCGUUAUGUAAAGCUCUAUCAGCAGGGAAGAAAAUGACGGUACCUGAGUAAGAAGCCCCGGCUAACUACGUGCCAGCAGCCGCGGUAAUACGUAGGGGGCAAGCGUUAUCCGGAUUUACUGGGUGUAAAGGGAGCGUAGACGGCAGUGCAAGUCUGGAGUGAAAGGCGGGGGCUCAACCCCCGGGACUGCAUUUGGAACUGCGUGGCUUGAGUGUCGGAGAGGCAGGCGGAAUUCCUAGUGUAGCGGUGAAAUGCGUAGAUAUUAGGAGGAGCACCAGUGGCGAAGGCGGCCUGCUGGACGAUGACUGACGUUGAGGCUCGAAAGCGUGGGGAGCAAACAGGAUUAGAUACCCCAGUAU
rnacentral:rRNA from 1 species